AUUGAACGCUGGCGGCAUGCCUUACACAUGCAAGUCGAACGGCAGCAUGAUCUAGCUUGCUAGAUUGAUGGCGAGUGGCGAACGGGUGAGUAAUACAUCGGAACGUGCCCUGUAGUGGGGGAUAACUAGUCGAAAGAUUAGCUAAUACCGCAUACGACCUGAGGGUGAAAGUGGGGGACCGCAAGGCCUCAUGCUAUAGGAGCGGCCGAUGUCUGAUUAGCUAGUUGGUGAGGUAAAGGCUCACCAAGGCGACGAUCAGUAGCUGGUCUGAGAGGACGAUCAGCCACACUGGGACUGAGACACGGCCCAGACUCCUACGGGAGGCAGCAGUGGGGAAUUUUGGACAAUGGGGGCAACCCUGAUCCAGCAAUGCCGCGUGUGUGAAGAAGGCCUUCGGGUUGUAAAGCACUUUUGUCCGGAAAGAAAUC
rnacentral:rRNA from 1 species